CUGCAUGUGUUGGCCUCGAGCCAUUGUUGACCGCUCCAUCACAGUGGAGAGUGGAAAAGUACACACAUGCUAGAUUAACAGUGAAAAACUCUGGAGUUAACAGGGCCACCAGUCUUUCAAGGUCAGGCUGAGUUGGUAGUAUAAUACUCCGACACUC
ensembl:snoRNA